rnacentral:rRNA from 1 species
UACGAAGGGGGCUAGCGUUGUUCGGAAUUACUGGGCGUAAAGCGCGCGCAGGCGGCUAUCCAAGUCAGUGGUGAAAGCCCGGAGCUCAACUCCGGAACUGCCAUUGAAACUGUUUAGCUUGAGGACGAGAGAGGUGAGUGGAAUUCCCAGUGUAGAGGUGAAAUUCGUAGAUAUUGGGAAGAACACCAGUGGCGAAGGCGGUUCACUGGCUCGUAUCUGACGCUCAGGCGCGAUAGCGUGGGGAUCAAACAGG